rnacentral:lncRNA from 1 species
CGCAACGCGCCAACCCCGUGGCGUUAGGCAACCCAUCAAACCUCCCGUGCGCGCCGCAUCGCCGCCGCCGGGCCAUCUCGGCGAUUCUGCAGUGUAGGUCCAGCAGACGACGCUACCGCAGCGCCACCAGUGAGCCAUCUCCGCCUGACUACCGGAAGCCGUCAGUCCGCAGCUGAGGAGCUGAGCGAACGUCAGUCAGCCAGCCGGCACCACGCGAGGCACAGCCCGUGUCUGACGCUCCCGCAACGCAGAGUCCACGCGUUCGCUCCGGGUUUCCGCGUUUGCUCAAGUUAAUGAAGUUGGUGUCGUGCUUCGCCUCAUCUACCUGCUGACUAUCGUCGUGCCAUCAUGCGUGCAAACCCGCUCUCGUCGCCCGCAAGGGCUUCUAGUCCGCGGCGUCUGCCUGCCGACAUGAUGGGCUAAGUUCACGCCGUCGCCUUGCCUCCGAGUCCAUGUUGCUGCCACCCAUCAUCACCAUCCUCGCCAUGACCGUCACGUUCUCCAAGAUGUACUUCACGUGUGGGCCUGCCAUCUGUCCCCCACCUCCGCUACGCCACCCGGCUUGGCGUGACGUCACUCCCAUCAGCUGUGAAGUGACAUAGUGAAGUGAUGCGGUUCGCCGCUUUGUGAAGUGAAAUGUGAUCAUUUUUCCUUUGCCAUGGACGUAUUGACGCCAUGUGUAGUGAAAUUUUAUUGUAAAUAAGUGUGUGUGUGGUUUGAGGAGGCGCCCCUCAAGCCUAUGUUACUACAGUAUUGCUCAGUCGCUGUGUGAGUAAUAUUUAUUUUGGUGAGUGCACUCCAUUCUAUUCUCUAUCUUUCCUGGGCCCAGGUGGUGGUACACUGUCUCUUGUUUCUGUAGUAUCUACUUGUUGUAGGACUUUGAAAGUGUUUGUCUGCGCUCAGUAAAUUUGAUAGUGUAUCACAUCUUUAUUUCUAAAUUUAUUAGUACUCUGUAAAGGUGUUCCAGUCAUUAUCUAUUUAAUUAUAGUGUUGUGUUAUUGCAAGCCCUUGUUUAUGGGUCACUAAUUGCUGUUGGAGUCGAUAAAUUCCUCCUUGUUUAUUUUGCAUCGGUUUAUGAUGCUAGGGUUUUGUUUAUCUAGUUGUGCGUUUGUCUGCUAACUUAAAUUAUUAUUUCCUUGAACACUUGAGUACUUAAAUCUUGUUGCAUAGUUUCUUGCUGUAUUCUGGGGGACGCCCCUUUAUAAAGUAAAUAUUAUCAAAUCAAUUCUUAGUGUUGGGUAUUGUUUUCAUUUAAAUAGUCUAACUGGUUUUCAUAUUAUGAUUUUUGUUUGGUGCAGUUCUUGUGUUCUACUGUCAGUGUGCUUGUUGUUAAUCUUUCUAUAAAGUGUUUGAUUUUUGCAUGUAGUUCCUAGGAAAAUGUGUUGACUUUAUUUACUUGCUGAUUUUCUCUGUUUCCGCUAAUCUUGUUUACUCGAGUAAAGUUUUUGCUAGUGUACCGUUAUUAUUUGCUUGGUCUAUUCUUGCAACUAAACCAAAUAGUAGUAUUAAAUUAAAUUCCUCGUGAAUACUUAGUUUUUAAACUACUCUAGUCAUUACUAUAUUUUGGUUUAUAAAAAUUCUUUGGUUUCAUAAAUAACACUAUUGACCUUUUGUGAUUCAAAUCAUUUUAUUUCAAAAUAGUUGUUUGGAUUGUAUGUUUGGUACAAUGUUUCCUUGACACUUGCAUAGUUCUAAACUAUUUCUAAAUAAUCUCUGUAAUUAAUUUAAUUGCAAAAGUUCUAUAAAGUUUAACAAUUCUGAGAUUUAUACUUAGUGUCUGUUUAUCUUCAAAAAUCCUAUAAAUAGUUUAUUUACUGUUUGUCUUAUAUUGUUCAACGCACCAGUUCUGCACCUGUGUCUAUAACAGUUUCUUUAUUUGUGAAUUAUAACCCCAUACUGCACA